UACGAAGGGGGCUAGCGUUGCUCGGAAUUACUGGGCGUAAAGCGCACGUAGGCGGAUCUUUAAGUCAGGGGUGAAAUCCUGGAGCUCAACUCCAGAACUGCCUUUGAUACUGAGGACCUUGAGUUCGGGAGAGGUGAGUGGAACUGCGAGUGUAGAGGUGAAAUUCGUAGAUAUUCGCAAGAACACCAGUGGCGAAGGCGGCUCACUGGCCCAAUACUGACGCUGAGGUGCGAAAGCGUGGGGAGCAAACAGG
rnacentral:rRNA from 1 species